rnacentral:lncRNA from 1 species
GAUAUACAAGAAUCAUACAAUUUUAAUAAUACACAACAUACGUGUUUUAAAUCAAGCAAAGUAGACUAAAUCACACAUCCUAACAUGUUAUAUUCUAGACUUGACUCGUCCGGACUUAGAAUGAUUGUCGAGCUAUGGCGGGUCGUGCACUCGUGGUGGCCUCUACUGCUUUGCAAAACCAUUGUCAAUGAGUUUCACCCUACCAUACUCACGAGGUUAGUCUGUUUCGGGCCUUAAGGCAUACUGGAAGCCCCCAAGACUAAGACCUCCUGCUACUCCUGACAAUAUGGUUCAAUCAUCUCUACUUGAGAAUGAAAGACCAUUGGAGUUUCAGGAUAACCCCCAA